AUUGAACGCUGGCGGCAGGCCUAACACAUGCAAGUCGAGCGAGCGGCGGACGGGUGAGUAAUGUAUGGGGACUGCCCGAUAGAGGGGGAUAAAUACUGGAAACGGUGGCUAAUACCGCAUACUAUCGGAUAACCCAUAUGGGAUUAGCUAGUAGGUGGGGUAAAGGCUCACCUAGGCGACGAUCUCUAGCUGGUCUGAGAGGAUGAUCGGCCACACUGGGACUGAGACACGGCCCAGACUCCUACGGAGGCAGCAGUAGGGAAUAUUCCACAAUGGACGCAAGCCUGAUGCAGCAAUGCCGCGUGUAUGAAGAAGGUCUUAGGGUUGUAAAGUACUUUCAGUGGGGAGGCGUUACCCACAGAGAAAGCAACGGCUAACUCCGUGCCAGCAGCCGCGGUAAUAC
rnacentral:rRNA from 1 species